AUAGAGAUAUGAGGGUGCUAGCUUGCUAGAACUUAGAGACAGGUGCUGCACGGCUGUCGUCAGCUCGUGUCGUGAGAUGUUGGGUUAAGUCCCGCAACGAGCGCAACCCACGUAUUUAGUUGCUAACGGUUCGGCCGAGCACUCUAAAUAGACUGCCUUCGUAAGGAGGAGGAAGGUGUGGACGACGUCAAGUCAUCAUGGCCCUUAUGCCCAGGGCGACACACGUGCUACAAUGGCAUAUACAAUGAGACGCAAUACCGCGAGGUGGAGCAAAUCUAUAAAAUAUGUCCCAGUUCGGAUUGUUCUCUGCAACUCGAGAGCAUGAAGCCGGAAUCGCUAGUAAUCGUAGAUCAGCCAUGCUACGGUGAAUACGUUCCCGGGUCUUGUACUCACCGCCCGUCACACCAUGGGAGUUGAUUUCACUCGAAGCCGGAAUACUAAACUAGUUACCGUCCACAGUGGAAUCAGCGACUGGGGUGAAGUCGUAACAAGGUAACCGUAGGAGAACCUGCGGUUGGAUCACCUCCUUU
rnacentral:rRNA from 1 species